GGGAGGCAGCAGUGGGGAAUAUUGCACAAUGGAGGAAACUCUGAUGCAGCGACGCCGCGUGAAUGAUGAAGGCCUUCGGGUCGUAAAGUUCUGUCCUUGGGGAUGAAGAAGUGACGGUACCUUAGGAGGAAGCCCCGGCUAACUACGUGCCAGCAGCCGCGGUAAU
rnacentral:rRNA from 1 species